rnacentral:lncRNA from 1 species
CUCGAGUCCAUCCUCCAUUGAGCCACCAAAGUUCCAAAAAUUAAUAUGUAAUUAAGGUAGGGGAUCUUGGAAGAGUUUCAGCAGAGAUAUUGCCAUAAUUGGCAAGGAAGAGUCCCAAUGGAACAUUACCACUGGCUACACUCAUUAAGGCAUGAGCCUCCUAAGAACAAAAUCAAUAGAAGACAUCAGUCUGUUUGAAGUGUCACUGCUAUGAAAAAUGGAGAUAGUUCCUAAGAAGCUAUGUUAACAAACAUCUGUAACUAUAAGAUUUCAUCAUAUUCAUCUCUUCUUUCCUCAUUUCUUCUGCUCAUCCGUUGUCACAGUCUUCAAGAUGGGCUACCCUUUGUCACAUAUUCUCUUUCACAAAGGUCAGGAAGAUGAUAUACUCUGAGAUCCCACCAGCUACUUGCAUUUAUUCUUGCCACCAUGACUCAGCAAGCACUCAGCAUUCUUUAAAGUUCACUCCAUCCUAUCCAGAUCCUUAUUGCUGUCAUCUUUGGACCUCUAGGUCACUCUCUUGCUUUCCAAAUAAAUUUUAUUAUGAAACA